rnacentral:sRNA from 1 species
UGUAUCCAAGGGGCUGGGUGGAAUCCUGCGGCUGUCCACCGUGGAAGCUGGUCAGCCUCCACCUUCUACCUGUUGAGUCUGGCAGAAUGCUGAGAUGUAUAAACUGUCUUCACAGCAAUUCCAUGAGGCAGCCUCAAAGAUGGAGAGCACAAUAAAGCACAAACAGACAACACUUCAUAACCCAGUGGCGGCCCUGGACCCAGGAGGUUUGUGCAGUCAUGGACAGCUACACAGGUGCCUGCCAUGGACGGAAGGGAAGGCUGCACCAACAGGUCUGCCGUGGACGGAAGGAAAGGCUGCCGCGCGGACUCCUGCCGUGGACGGAAGGGAAGGCUGCACAGAGGUCUGCCGUGGACGGAAGGGAAGGCUGCCGCGCGGACUCCUGCCGUGGACGGAAGGGAAGGCUGCCGCGCGGACUCCUGCCGUGGACGGAAGGGAAGGCUGCCGCGCGGACUCCUGCCGUGGACGGAAGGGAAGGCUGCCGCGCGGACUCCUGCCGUGGACGGAAGGGAAGGCUGCACGGACUCCUGCUGUGGAUGGAAAGGAGGUUGCACAGAGGUCUACUGUGGACGGAAGGGAAGGCUGCACAGAGCCUUAUCACUAAUGGGAAAGAAAGGCUGCACGGAGGCUUGCUUGGAUAGAAGGGAAGGGUGCAGAUUGUCUUGGACAUGAAGGGAAGGCUGCACACAGAAUUCUCAUGGAUGGAAGGAAAGCUGCACAGAGGAAUGUUUAUGAUGAGAAGGGAAGAAUGCAGAGCCUUGCCAUAGAUGGGAA